rnacentral:rRNA from 1 species
GACGAACGCUGGCGGCGUGCUUAACACAUGCAAGUCGAACGGAAAGGCCCUGCUUUUGUGGGGUGCUCGAGUGGCGAACGGGUGAGUAACACGUGAGUAACCUGCCCUUGACUUUGGGAAAACUUCAGGAAACUGGGGCUAAUACCGGAUAGGAGCUCCUGCUGCAUGGUGGGGGUUGGAAAGUUUCGGCGGUUGGGGAUGGACUCGCGGCUUAUCAGCUUGUUGGUGGGGUAGUGGCUUACCAAGGCUUUGACGGGUAGCCGGCCUGAGAGGGUGACCGGCCACAUUGGGCCUGAGAUACGGCCCAGACUCCUACGGGAGGCAGCAGUGGGGAAUAUUGCACAAUGGGCGGAAGCCUGAUGCAGCAACGCCGCGUGCGGGAUGACGGCCUUCGGGUUGUAAACCGCUUUCGCCUGUGACGAAGCGUGAGUGACGGUAAUGGGUAAAGAAGCACCGGCUAACUACGU